rnacentral:rRNA from 1 species
AUUGAACGCUGGCGGUAUGCUUAACACAUGCAAGUCGGACGGCAGCAUGGUGUGUAGCAAUACACACUGAUGGCGAGUGGCGGACGGGUGAGAAACGCGUAGGAAUCUGCCUUACAGAGGGGGACAACUAGAGGAAACUCUAGCUAAUACCGCAUAAAGUCUGCGGACCAAAGGCUGCCCCGGAGUAAAAUCCGGGGUGGCGCUGUAAGAGGAGCCUGCGUCCGAUUAGCUAGUUGGUAGGGUAAAGGCCUACCAAGGCGAUGAUCGGUAGCUGGUCUGAGAGGAUGAUCAGCCACACUGGGACUGAGACACGGCCCAGACUCCUAUGGGAGGCUG